rnacentral:rRNA from 1 species
UACGAAGGGGGCUAGCGUUGCUCGGAAUUACUGGGCGUAAAGGGCGCGUAGGCGGAUAUCUAAGUUGGGGGUGAAAUCCCGGGGCUCAACCUCGGAAUUGCCUUCAAAACUGGAUAUCUUGAGUUCGGGAGAGGUGAGUGGAACUCCGAGUGUAGAGGUGAAAUUCGUAGAUAUUCGGAAGAACACCAGUGGCGAAGGCGGCUCACUGGCCCGGUACUGACGCUGAGGUGCGAAAGCGUGGGGAGCAAACAGG